GCAACGAGUUGAUAGCUGCGAGUCUAAUUGCCCAAACACAUUUUGCGGGGAAGAGAAAGCUGAUAAAUUUGGAUACAAACCAGAUGACGGUGAACUCAUAGAAGCGUGUGGAAAGCAGUACAUUUUUUCAAGAGCACCUAGAUUCAACCAAAACUCAACUGUUUCAUUUUGCUGCACGAAAUACAUGAGCGCUGGAAGUGUUUCUUCUUUGGACGAGGCCAAGUGUUUGGCCCGCGAAAUGAUCAAAAGAAAUAUUGGUGACGUGCCUUUCUGGACAAGCGCGAGGCCGAGCAACUGCUCUGAUUUUUCCACGUGGUGUGCUCUGGACGGGUCGGGAGAAGUCGUUGACCAAACCUCAUUGCAGAUUAUCAACAAAAGAACUAACCCUAAGAAGCAAUUUGUUACAGUGAAGGCGAUUGUGCAGACAGAGUCUCUGACUUUUGAAUUCGAAGACCCCGCAGUCUUGGCCACUGUUUUCAGUAAAUGUAACUUAAAAUUUAUUUUCUAAUCAUCUCGUUCUAAUGUUUUAAGCGAAUGAACCCGCUGAGUUGCACCGAGUCGCUGUGUUUUCCUAUGGGAUUUAAUGAGCAGGUUUGAUUUUUUGGUUCAUUUCAUAAUCUAUCUAAUCUAUUUGUAAAUUAAUUGUCAACAUGAAAUAUUUGCUCCAUUUUGCUAGUAACAAAACCCGUUAAACUUAAGCAUUUUUUUAAAAUUUGUAUAUUUUUACUUAGAUCAAAAGGUAAACAUGGAUGCAUCGAAUAUUUUACUCUAAAAGUAAUCGAUAUUUUUUACUGAAAUUUUUAAAUAAAAUUUUCAACAGUUAAAUUAUACAAAAUAGAAAAAUUGUCAAAAGACGCGAAAUUAAACUGCACAGAGGGCCCAUUAUGUCAAUUUUUUAAAUUAUACCCAUAGUUUUUCAUCCCUUUCGGAAACUGUUUUUUUUAGUAAACAGCAAUUUUUAAAAAAUUUAUAGCGGGAUCCCUAUGGGCUCAAAUGGGCCGCGUAUUGGAUCUGCUUCGAUUUGUCUUGAAGAGACGAGCUAUCGAUUGCGUGGUUUUUUAAAUAUUCGGUUCCAUCGAUUUUCGGAGGUGCAAAAGGUGACCUUCAAACCUCCAUAAAAACCACCCUAUCCGAUUGCCAGCAAAAAGGGGUUAUAUAUAGCCUUUGACUUACAUUGGGGUGGGCAGCUGACGCUGCCUGCGGAUUGUGUUAACUCGAAAAAAAUCGGCACAGCACGGGGGAA